GACGAACGCUGGCGGCGUGCUUAACACAUGCAAGUCGAGCGGUAAGGCCCUUUCGGGGGUACACGAGCGGCGAACGGGUGAGUAACACGUGGGUGACCUGCCCUCAGCUCUGGGAUAAGCCUGGGAAACUGGGUCUAAUACUGGAUAUGACUCCACGGUGCAUGUCGUGGGGUGGAAAGCCUUGUGCGGCUGAGGAUGGGCCCGCGGCCUAUCAGCUUGUUGGUGGGGUGANGGCCUACCAAGGCGACGACGGGUAGCCGGCCUGAGAGGGCGACCGGCCACACUGGGACUGAGACACGGCCCAGACUCCUACGGGAGGCAGCAGUGGGGAAUCUUGCGCAAUGGGCGAAAGCCUGACGCAGCGACGCCGCGUGAGGGAUGACGGCCUGCGGGUUGUAAAGCACUUUCAGUGGGGAAGAAAGCUUGGUGUGAAUAGCGCCGAGUCUUGACGUUACCAAAGAAGAAGCACCGGCUAACUCCGUGCCAGCAGCCGCGGUAA
rnacentral:rRNA from 1 species